rnacentral:rRNA from 1 species
UACGUAGGGUGCAAGCGUUGUCCGGAAUUAUUGGGCGUAAAGAGCUCGUAGGCGGUCUGUCGCGUCGGGAGUGAAAACUCAGGGCUUAACCCUGAGCCUGCUUCCGAUACGGGCAGACUAGAGGUAUGCAGGGGAGAACGGAAUUCCUGGUGUAGCGGUGAAAUGCGCAGAUAUCAGGAGGAACACCGGUGGCGAAGGCGGUCUCUGGGCAUUACCUGACGCUGAGGAGCGAAAGUGUGGGGAGCGAACAGGA